AACGAACGCUGGCGGCAUGCCUAACACAUGCAAGUCGAACGAGACCUUCGGGUCUAGUGGCGCACGGGUGCGUAACGCGUGGGAACCUGCCCUUAGGUUCGGAAUAACUCCCCGAAAGGGGUGCUAAUACCGGAUAAUGUCUUCGGACCAAAGAUUUAUCGCCUUUGGUUGGGCCCGCGUUGGAUUAGCUAGUUGGUAGGGUAAAAGCCUACCAAGGCGACGAUCCAUAGCUGGUCUGAGAGGAUGAUCAGCCACACUGGGACUGAGACACGGCCCAGACUCCGGGGGGAGGAGGGAGGGGGGAAUAUUGAAAAAGGGGGGAAGGCUUGAUCAAGAAAGGCCGGGUGAGGGAUAAGGCCGUUAGGGUAGAAAAGCUUUUUUCCCCGGAAUGAUAAUGACGGUACCGGAAGAAUAAGCCCCGGCUAACUCCGGG
rnacentral:rRNA from 1 species